rnacentral:rRNA from 1 species
CCAGCCACCCCGAGUGGUCGGGACGAUUAUUGGGCCUAAAGCAUCCGUAGUCCGGUUUUACAAGUCCUCCGUUAAAUCCAACUGCUUAACAGAGUGGGCCGCGGAGGAUACUAUAAGACUAGGAGGCAGGAGAGGCAAGCGGUACUCAGUGGGUAAGGGUAAAUCCGUUGAUCCAUUGAAGACCACCAGUGGCGAAGGCGGCUUGCCAGAAUGCGCUCGACGGUGGAGGGAUAGAAAGCUGGGGGAGCAAACCGGAUUAGAUACCCGGGUAGUCCCAGCUGUAAACGAUGCAGACUCGGUGAUGGACUAGCUUUAUGCUAGUCCAGUGCCGCAGGGAAGCCGUUAAGUCUGCCGCCUGGGUAGUACGGUCGCAAGACUG